AAGCGCUACUCCGACCUGUCACAUGACUGGAGUUGACCCACCUUAUUGGUCAGUGGCAAACACGGGGAGUUGGAGGUUGUUAUUCGAUUUCUUCCCCGCUAAGGCGACGGUUUUACUUUGGAAUUAAGGCUCCACCCCCCGACACCGACCCCGGAAGAUACGAGUGGGAGGGGUUUGGUUGCUCACCGGAAGGUGGAGCGUGUGGACUACAGCUCCCGACAUUCAACGUGGCUAGCAUGGCGCGGCGCAUAUCGGCCUUUGUAGUUCGCUCCAUGCAAGUUACAUCCCAGGAAUUGUAGUGUGAGCCCGCGGGAAGACGGUGGGAAGUGGGUGCAUUGUCCUGCUCUGAAGCCCAGGCUUGCGCUUCCCGAGCCCCAGACCCUCGAAGCCGAGGCGGCCGACGAGGCAUCCCAGGAGCGAAGGGCUGGCCGGAGGUUUGAGUAAGCGGUCUCGGCUGAGUCCAAGGACUGGCGACGGGCUUGCCUUUCUCAGUAGGCUGGUCCCCAGCCCAGCUCCAACACGUGCUCUGCACAUCCAUCCCCCGGGAAGCGCCGGUGAGCAUACCUCACCUCGCCGUCCUUUUUCACAAAGCGGGGGAGCAGUGACCAAGUAUCCGUAAGUGACUUACCCAAGGUCACACAGGCAGCGUUCACUUCUGGUUCUGGAACCCUGAACCCUUCAGACCCCCUGGAGCCCGCAUCCACCGUGAGCUGGGACCCAUCUCUGCGUCUCUCUACCAGCUCUGCCUGGUUCACUGUGCCCUUAAAUUUGGCAGCAGGGGCGUGGCCUGGGGGGCGUGGUGCAGAAGUCGCCUCUGGUCCGGGGUAACCGGGCUACUCCUUGCUUGCCUUGCCGCGUGUGACCUUGGGCGAGUCAGUUAACUCUCAUUUGCAAGAUAGACAGCACUAGAAUUAUUAUGUCAGUCUUACUGAAUUAGGAAAACACUUUAUUUUCAGAAAACCACAAUGCAAACGGAAGCUGUUGUUUUUAAUUGGUGAGAAGAGGAAUAAAUCGUUUUUCUGGAGCACAGGAAUUGAUCAGAAUAAAUAGUACUUCACUCACUUCCCUGCUAAUUCUCCUAAAAGGGACUUCCGUACAGAUAAUCAAUUGGCUCGUCAAGGAGGUGCGACAUCUAAUUUCCUUUCUUUGUGGCUCAGUCAAGCUGCAGAAACUCUUCACUUACCAACUGUAGCAACUGGGCAGCACAGAGAUGAACUUUCCAACCCUGGGCUCGGCAAGAUACUCCUUUCUGAUUGGCUAUUUCUUGCAGCAUGGCUUUCUUCUCCUCUGGAAUCAUAUGAAUAUAAACCUGAGUCUAUUCAUUUCAAUAAUAAAAGCUAAAAUCACUAA